rnacentral:rRNA from 1 species
GAUGAACGCUGGCGGCGUGCCUAAUACAUGCAAGUCGAGCGAACGGACGAGAAGCUUGCUUUUCUGAUGUUAGCGGCGGACGGGUGGGUAACACGUGGAUAACCUACCUAUAAGACUGGGAUAACUUCGGGAAACCGGAGCUAAUACCGGAUAAUAUUUUGAACCGCAUGGUUCAAAAGUGAAAGACGGUCUUGCUGUCACUUAUAGAUGGAUCCGCGCUGCAUUAGCUAGUUGGUAAGGUGACGGCUUACCAAGGCAACGAUGCAUAGCCGACCUGAGAGGGUGAUCGGCCACACUGGAACUGAGACACGGUCCAGACUCCUACGGGAGGCAGCAGUAGGGAAUCUUCCGCAAUGGGCGAAAGCCUGACGGAGCGACGCCGCGUGAGUGAUGAAGGUCUUCGGAUCGUAAAACUCUGUUAUUAGGGAAGAACAUAUGUGUAAGUAACUGUGCACAUCUUGACGGUACCUAAUCAGAAAGCCACGGCUAACUACGUG